ACAGAUAUGUAAAGUGAAGAAAAAUAUAUUCUUAUAUAUAUAUGUGUGUGUGUGUGUGUGUGUGUGUGUGUUCUUUUUUAUGCACAAGCAGAUUGGCUAUGUGAGUAUCUAAAAUUUAAAC
rnacentral:miRNA from 1 species